rnacentral:rRNA from 1 species
AAAGAAGCAGAGGGGGCUUAGUGGUGGGGUGACUGCGUACCUUUUGUAUAAUGGGUCAGCGACUUAUAUUCUGUAGCAAGGUUAACCGUAUAGGGGAGCCGGAGGGAAACCGAGUCUUAAUUGGGCGUUAAGUUGCAGGGUAUAGACCCGAAACCCGGUGAUCUAGCCAUGGGCAGGUUGAAGGUUGGGUAACACUAACUGGAGGACCGAACCGACUAAUGUUGAAAAAUUAGCGGAUGACCUGUGGCUGGGGGUGAAAGGCCAAUCAAACCGGGAGAUAGCUGGUUCUCCCCGAAAGCUAUUUAGGUAGCGCCUCGUGAAUUCAUCUCCGGGGGUAGAGCACUGUUUCGGCUAGGGGGCCAUCCCGGCUUACCAACCCGAUGCAAACUGCGAAUACCGGAGAAUGUUAUCACGGGAGACACACGGCGGGUGCUAACGUCCGUCGUGAAGAGGGAAACAACCCAGACCGCCAGCUAAGGUCCCAAAGUCAUGGUUAAGUGGGAAACGAUGUGGGAAGGCCCAGACAGCCAGGAUGUUGGCUUAGAAGCAGCCAUCAUUUAAAGAAAGCGUAAUAGCUCACUGGUCGAGUCGGCCUGCGCGGAAGAUGUAACGGGGCUAAACCAUGCACCGAAGCUGCGGCAGCGACACUCAGGUGUCGUUGGGUAGGGGAGCGUUCUGUAAGCCUGCGAAGGUGGCCUGUGAGGGUUGCUGGAGGUAUCAGAAGUGCGAAUGCUGACAUAAGUAACGAUAAAGCGGGUGAAAAGCCCGCUCGCCGGAAGACCAAGGGUUCCUGUCCAACGUUAAUCGGGGCAGGGUGAGUCGACCCCUAAGGCGAGGCCGAAAGGCGUAGUCGAUGGGAAACGGGUUAAUAUUCCCGUACUUGGUGUUACUGCGAAGGGGGGACGGAGAAGGCUAUGUUGGCCGGGCGACGGUUGUCCCGGUUUAAGCGUGUAGGUGUGUGUUCCAGGUAAAUCCGGUUCACUUUAACACUGAGGCGUGACGACGAGGCACUACGGUGCUGAAGCAACAAAUGCCCUGCUUCCAGGAAAAGCCUCUAAGCAUCAGGUAACAUCAAAUCGUACCCCAAACCGACACAGGUGGUCAGGUAGAGAAUACCAAGGCGCUUGAGAGAACUCGGGUGAAGGAACUAGGCAAAAUGGUGCCGUAACUUCGGGAGAAGGCACGCUGACACGUAGGUGAAGUGAUUUACUCAUGGAGCUGAAGUCAGUCGAAGAUACCAGCUGGCUGCAACUGUUUAUUAAAAACACAGCACUGUGCAAACACGAAAGUGGACGUAUACGGUGUGACGCCUGCCCGGUGCCGGAAGGUUAAUUGAUGGGGUCAGCGCAAGCGAAGCUCCUGAUCGAAGCCCCGGUAAACGGCGGCCGUAACUAUAACGGUCCUAAGGUAGCGAAAUUCCUUGUCGGGUAAGUUCCGACCUGCACGAAUGGCGUAAUGAUGGCCAGGCUGUCUCCACCCGAGACUCAGUGAAAUUGAACUCGCUGUGAAGAUGCAGUGUACCCGCGGCAAGACGGAAAGACCCCGUGAACCUUUACUAUAGCUUGACACUGAACAUUGAGCCUUGAUGUGUAGGAUAGGUGGGAGGCUUUGAAGUGUGGACGCCAGUCUGCAUGGAGCCGGCCUUGAAAUACCACCCUUUAAUGUUUGAUGUUCUAACGUGGACCCGUGAUCCGGGUUGCGGACAGUGUCUGGUGGGUAGUUUGACUGGGGCGGUCUCCUCCUAAAGAGUAACGGAGGAGCACGAAGGUUGGCUAAUCCUGGUCGGACAUCAGGAGGUUAGUGCAAUGGCAUAAGCCAGCUUGACUGCGAGCGUGACGGCGCGAGCAGGUGCGAAAGCAGGUCAUAGUGAUCCGGUGGUUCUGAAUGGAAGGGCCAUCGCUCAACGGAUAAAAGGUACUCCGGGGAUAACAGGCUGAUACCGCCCAAGAGUUCAUAUCGACGGCGGUGUUUGGCACCUCGAUGUCGGCUCAUCACAUCCUGGGGCUGAAGUAGGUCCCAAGGGUAUGGCUGUUCGCCAUUUAAAGUGGUACGCGAGCUGGGUUUAGAACGUCGUGAGACAGUUCGGUCCCUAUCUGCCGUGGGCGCUGGAGAACUGAGGGGGGCUGCUCCUAGUACGAGAGGACCGGAGUGGACGCAUCACUGGUGUUCGGGUUGUCAUGCCAAUGGCACUGCCCGGUAGCUAAAUGCGGAAGAGAUAAGUGCUGAAAGCAUCUAAGCACGAAACUUGCCCCGA